rnacentral:rRNA from 1 species
ACGAACGCUGGCGGCGCGCCUAACACAUGCAAGUCGAACGGAGUUGUGUUGAAAGCUUGCUGGAUAUGCAACUUAGUGGCGGACGGGUGAGUAACACGUGAGUAACCUGCCUUUCAGAGUGGAAUAACGUUUGGAAACGAACGCUAAUACCGCAUAACAUGAGAGAACGGCAUCGUUCUUUCAUCAAAGAUUUUAUCGCUGAGAGAUGGGCUCGCGGCCGAUUAGGUAGUUGGUGAGAUAACAGCCCACCAAGCCGACGAUCGGUAGCCGGACUGAGAGGUUGAACGGCCACAUUGGGACUGAGACACGGCCCAGACUCCUACGGGAGGCAGCAGUGGGGGAUAUUGCACAAUGGAGGAAACUCUGAUGCAGCGACGCCGCGUGAGGGAAGACGGUCUUCGGAUUGUAAACCUCUGUCUUUAGGGACGAAAAAAUGACGGUACCUAAGGAGGAAGCCACGGCUAACUACGUGCCAGCAGCCGCGGUAAUACGUAGGUGGCAAGCGUUGUCCGGAAUUACUGGGUGUAAAGGGAGCGUAGGCGGGGAGACAAGUUGAAUGUUUAAACUAUCGGCUUAACUGAUAGUCGCGUUCAAAACUAUCACUCUUGAGUGCAGUAGAGGUAGGCGGAAUUCCUAGUGUAGCGGUGAAAUGCGUAGAUAUUAGGAGGAACACCAGUGGCGAAGGCGGCCUACUGGGCUGUAACUGACGCUGAGGCUCGAAAGCGUGGGUAGCAAACAGGAUUAGAUACCCUGGUAGUCCACGCCGUAAACGAUGAUUACUAGGUGUGGGGGGACUGACCCCUUCCGUGCCGGAGUUAACACAAUAAGUAAUCCACCUGGGGAGUACGACCGCAAGGUUGAAACUCAAAGGAAUUGACGGGGGCCCGCACAAGCAGUGGAGUAUGUGGUUUAAUUCGAAGCAACGCGAAGAACCUUACCAAGUCUUGACAUCCUGCGACGUACAUAGAAAUAUGUGUUUCCUUCGGGACGCAGAGACAGGUGGUGCAUGGUUGUCGUCAGCUCGUGUCGUGAGAUGUUGGGUUAAGUCCCGCAACGAGCGCAACCCUUAUCAUUAGUUGCUACGCAAGAGCACUCUAAUGAGACUGCCGUUGAUAAAACGGAGGAAGGUGGGGAUGACGUCAAAUCAUCAUGCCCCUUAUGACCUGGGCUACACACGUACUACAAUGGCUAUAACAAAGAGAAGCGAGACCGCGAGGUGGAGCAAAACUCAAAAAAGUAGUCUCAGUUCGGAUUGUAGACUGAAAUUCGUCUACAUGAAGCUGGAAUUGCUAGUAAUGGCAGGUCAGCAUACUGCCGUGAAUACGUUCCCGGGCCUUGUACACACCGCCCGUCACACCAUGGGAGUCGGUAACACCCGAAGUCAGUAGCCUAACCGCAAGGAGGGCGCUGCCGAAGGUGGGAUUGAUGACUGGGGUG